rnacentral:tRNA from 1 species
GAUAAAAUGGCUGAGUUUAUAGGCGAUAAAUUGUAAAUUUAUAUACGGAUUAGAAUCCUUUUAUCA